rnacentral:rRNA from 1 species
UACAGAGGUCUCAAGCGUUGUUCGGAUUCAUUGGGCGUAAAGGGUGUGUAGGUGGCGCCGUAAGUCGGGUGUGAAAUUUCGGAGCUUAACUCCGAAACUGCAUUCGAUACUGCGGUGCUUGAGGACUGGAGAGGAGACUGGAAUUCAUGGUGUAGCAGUGAAAUGCGUAGAGAUCAUGAGGAAGACCAGUGGCGAAGGCGGGUCUCUGGGACGGUACUGACGCUGAGGCGCGAAAGCGUGGGGAGCAAACAGG